AUUGAACGCUGGCGGAAUGCUUUACACAUGCAAGUCGAACGGCAGCACGGACUUCGGUCUGGUGGCGAGUGGCGAACGGGUGAGUAAUGUAUCGGAACGUGCCCAGUCGUGGGGGAUAACGUAGUGAAAAUUACGCUAAUACCGCAUACGAUCUAUGGAUGAAAGCGGGGGAUCGCAAGACCUCGCGCGAUUGGAGCGGCCGAUAUCAGAUUAGGUAGUUGGUGGGGUAAAGGCCCACCAAGCCAACGAUCUGUAGCUGGUCUGAGAGGACGACCAGCCAAACUGGAACUGAGACACGGGCCAGACUCCUACGGGAGGCAGCAGUGGGGAAUUUUGGACAAUGGGCGAAAGCCUGAUCCAGCCAUUCCGCGUGCAGGAUGAAGGCCCUCGGGUUUUAAACUGCUUUUGUACAGAACGAAAAGGUUUCUACUAAUACUAGGAGCUCAUGACGGUACUGUAAGAAUAAGCACCGGCUAACUACGUGCCAGCAGCCGCCGUAA
rnacentral:rRNA from 1 species